AAGGGGAUAACACUUGGAAACAGGUGCUAAUACCGUAUAACACUAUUUUCCGCAUGGAAGAAAGUUGAAAGGCGCUUUUGCGUCACUGAUGGAUGGACCCGCGGUGCAUUAGCUAGUUGGUGAGGUAACGGCUCACCAAGGCAACGAUGCAUAGCCGACCUGAGAGGGUGAUCGGCCACACUGGGACUGAGACACGGCCCAGACUCCUACGGGAGGCAGCAGUAGGGAAUCUUCGGCAAUGGACGAAAGUCUGACCGAGCAACGCCGCGUGAGUGAAGAAGGUUUUCGGAUCGUAAAACUCUGUUGUUAGAGAAGAACAAGGAUGAGAGUAAAACGUUCAUCCCUUGACGGUAUCUAACCAGAAAGCCACGGCUAACUACGUGCCAGCAGCCGCGGUAAUACGUAGGUGGCAAGCGUUGUCCGGAUUUAUUGGGCGUAAAGCGAGCGCAGGCGGUUUCUUAAGUCUGAUGUGAAAGCCCCCGGCUCAACCGGGGAGGGUCAUUGGAAACUGGGAGACUUGAGUGCAGAAGAGGAGAGUGGAAUUCCAUGUGUAGCGGUGAAAUGCGUAGAUAUAUGGAGGAACACCAGUGGCGAAGGCGGCUCUCUGGUCUGUAACUGACGCUGAGGCUCGAAAGCGUGGGGAGCGAACAGGAUUAGAUACCCUGGUAGUCCACGCCGUAAACGAUGAGUGCUAAGUGUUGGAGGGUUUCCGCCCUUCAGUGCUGCAGCAAACGCAUUAAGCACUCCGCCUGGGGAGUACGACCGCAAGGUUGAAACUCAAAGGAAUUGACGGGGGCCCGCACAAGCGGUGGAGCAUGUGGUUUAAUUCGAAGCAACGCGAAGAACCUUACCAGGUCUUGACAUCCUUUGACCACUCUAGAGAUAGAGCUUCCCCUUCGGGGGCAAAGUGACAGGUGGUGCAUGGUUGUCGUCAGCUCGUGUCGUGAGAUGUUGGGUUAAGUCCCGCAACGAGCGCAACCCUUAUUGUUAGUUGCCAUCAUUUAGUUGGGCACUCUAGCGAGACUGCCGGUGACAAACCGGAGGAAGGUGGGGAUGACGUCAAAUCAUCAUGCCCCUUAUGACCUGGGCUACACACGUGCUACAAUGGGAAGUACAACGAGUUGCGAAGUCGCGAGGCUAAGCUAAUCUCUUAAAGCUUCUCUCAGUUCGGAUUGUAGGCUGCAACUCGCCUACAUGAAGCCGGAAUCGCUAGUAAUCGCGGAUCAGCACGCCGCGGUGAAUACGUUCCCGGGCCUUGUACACACCGCCCGUCACACCAC
rnacentral:rRNA from 1 species